CUUUCUGUCUGCCUGCUGCAUACCACUCACAGAUAUGGGAAUAAUGUUAUGUUGUGAAUCUAGUUACAUAUUUUUUCUUACAUAGUGUAAUUAAAGAUUUAAUUUUUCCUUUCUGUAAAUAGCAUUCCUAUAUAUGGGCUAUUGCUUUGCACGAAUAUAGCAUUUUUCUCUGGUUCUUCCUGAAAACGAGUUGGUUCUGGUUGACAUUCUCUGAAUACACAUUUUGACUUCAACAGGCAUUUAUUAGGCACCUAAUGUGUGCCACGUUAUUGUUCUCAGAGCCCUUCCUGAUCACAUCCAGUAACAAGGAAACACAAUAAAAACUCCAGCAUCUGAAAUGAUAAAAACAAACCCAAGUCUAUCCCUAUUCUCCAUUGCAUCCCUAUUCUCCUUCUCCUGUAGCUAAUAAAUCCCAAAACAAUAUAUUCCUCUGAUACGCCACAUAAAUACAACAUUAACUAUGUUUUGUUUUAAUCAUGAACAAAUGAGGUCUCCCCGACCUAUUAUUAUUAUUUUGGCAUACAUUUGUUUUGGGAGCUAAAAACAAAUUAAAAUUUCUAGAUCUUUUCUCGUAUUGGUCAUGAUAGCUAAAAACUGAUCAUUUUCUGGUGAUAAUUAUGAAUUAAUAACAUCUAAUAUAGGACAACAUGUACAGACCUGGUAUUUGUUUUCCACUGAAUGACAUGAAUACACAUAUCUACUCUCACCAUGAGCUUUAUUUUCGAUUGUUUUACUUCUUAUAGUUAAAAAGAUGCACAGUGUAGAUGCCCUCGAUUGUGCUGUAAAUUUAAUAUCCUAGGCACAUUCUAAUACUAGUCUUCAAGGUUUUCCUCGUUAAACAAAUGCUACUGACAUGUUUAUGUUUGUUCUAAUUAAAAGCCGUUAUUAAUGGGUUAUAGUGUGCUUUAAAAACGUCUCUGGCAUAAAUUUCAGAAGUUUGGUUUUGUUUUAACCCAACAACAUGUUUUCCACAUUAUUUUUCAUUUAAUUAAAGGGAUAUGACUCGCAUCCCCUCUCCAGUUCAGUGAUAUUUUAACUGUUGAAGAUUAAAGUGAAAAUGUUCAUUUGUUGGGUUGGAGUUAUUAUUUGGAUGAGGCUGGUCCGGCAUUUUCAGAGUUUAGAUAUCUAGCACUUAAUCUUCAGUGAGGUCACACAAGUUUCUAUGGAGCUGUUAGAAAGCAUGGAUUGUUCUUAUUAUUUCCCGAGGGGUUAAGUCAAUGCCUUGCACAUAGUUAGCACCCUAUAGAUGAUUGUUGGAUUAGUGAGUCAUGAUCAUAGCCAUUAAGAAUAUCAAACAUUUCCUAUCCUUUGGUUGUCAUCUUGUCUCCCAUUAGAUUACCAGAAAUGGUAUAUUUCUUCUCUGUUUGAAAAUGCAGCUCUACUCACCCAGAUGGUUGUACUCGUGCAGAUAAAUCCAUAACCUGUUCACUCCUUAAAUCCAUUUUUAAUUAACAAUUGUGAAUAUUUAAUUUUCAACCAAGCCUCAGUGAUGCUCAAAGCACCCCUUCUUAUUAUUGAGAAACUCAAAUGGUGGUAAGGCUGCUGUAUCCAUUUAGUUGGAAAUUAGCACAUUCGUUAGAGGUGUUAUUUAAAUAAACAGAAUCAUUACACUGCACAGUAUGGAAGAGUGUCAGCUAUGGAUUCGCUGGUGAUUUAUUUUCAUCAAUGUAUUCUUCUCAUGAGGUGCUAUGGUUCACACGGGAAGUCGUGGAAACUGUGCCCAUGCAGUCAGGCUCCAUUAUGCUUGCUGCAGGGUUACUCCAACCAAGGCACUUCAUCUGUUUUGAAGAUUGAAAAAGCCAGGAUGUGGUGGAUUUUCAAAGAGCCCAUCUGUGUGGUGUUUCAUUCUCAGUUGCUGGUCUUUCCAACACUCGUGAUAACUAAAUCUCCAUGAUGUGCUAGAUGGCACGGGCUGGAUACAAGUCAUCUUCUAGUGACCCCACAGGUGGCUGGAGAAUGAUCAGAAAGCAGUGGGUUGAUUCUGAAAGGGUUUUAACAGGGUGAAUAUUAACCAUGACUUAAACAUCAAAAUAACCCAAGUUGAUAAGGUCGUUGUUGCUGUUUUUUUUUAUGGGGGGGAUGGGGGAGUGUGGUCACAAUCAAUUUCCUCUGUUUCAUGUGCAUGUCUCUAUUGUACUGCCAGGCAAACACAUGUGACUCUGGUAGAAACUAGUAAUUCUAGAUAUCGUUAGAUUGCACAGAAUUAAACAUUUUAAAAUCGUAUGAUUAUCACAACCUUUAUUCCCAUUCUCCAUUUCAGAUCCUUAAAAACUAUUAAGAGAAAGUAUUUUCAACUCAUUCAUAAUCUAUUACUAUGAGAUCAGGGGAAGUCUAAUUUCAAAGAUUAUGGGAUUUCAGUUGGAAGAAAUUUAAUUGCAAAAAUUAGGCCUCUAUCUUCAAAGUGUGUAGAAGGAAAAAGGGUGCUCGCUAUUAUGCUGCAAAGUUACAGGGAGUGUUCCAUGAAAAGAUCUUGCUCUUGAUACAUCUGACAAAAUUUUUUGGAAGUUAGGUUUUUUUUUUUUUUGAGGUAUACAUUGCACACAAUAAAAUUCACCCUUUUUAGGUGCAUAUUUCUAUGAAUUUUGACAAAUGCAUACAAUCAUGUCACUACCAUCAUAGUAAAAACAUAGAUCAUUUCCAUCGUAUUAAAAAGUUCCCUUAUGCAUCUGUGUAAUCAAUUUCCUCUUCCCACCCCCAGACCCUGGCAACCAGUGGUCUACCAUCUCUCCCUAUUAUUUUGCUAUUACCAGAAUAUUAUACAAAUGGAUUGAUAUAGUAUUUCGAUAUUUGGUCUGCUUUCUUUCACAAAUCUGAGUGCAUCUGAAAUUCAUCCAUCCCUUUGUAUACAUGAAAAGUUUGCUUUACUGCUGAGUAAUAUUUUAUUAUUUGACUGUAACAUUAUUUAUUGAUCCAUUCUAUAAUUGGUGGACAUGUGAGUUAUUUCCAGCCUUUGAUGAUUAUGAAUAAAGUUGCUAUAAACAUAUGAGUACAGGUUUUUGUAUGUACAUAUAUGUUCAUUUCUUCUGGGUAAAUGGGAUUGCAGGGAUGUAUGGUAAGUGUGUGUUUAAGUUGGUAAGAAACUGCCGAACUGUUUUCUGAAGCGGUUGUGCCAUUUUUCAUUGCCAUCCAAAGUUUAUGAAGCUUCUGUUGCUCCAUAUGUUACAAUACCUGAUAUUGUUACUUGUUUUUUUUUUUUCCAUUCUUAGAGGCAAAGUGAUACCUCACUGAUGUUUUGGUUGAAUUUUUCUAAUGACAGAUGAUGUUGAGCAUCUUCUGACAUAUUUAUUUGCCAUCCAUAUAAAAUCGUUGAUGAAGCAUUUUUUCAAGUCUUUUGCCUGUUUUCAAAUAUUUCGUGGUUUAUUUUCUUAUUAAUGAAAUAUUAAUUAUUAAGAGUUGUUUAUACAUCUGGAAACCAGUUAGUUAUCAUAUAUUUAUCACAUAUUUGUUUUGUAAAUAUUUUCUGCCAGUUUGUGGUUUUCUCUUCAUUUUUAUAGUAUCUUUCAAGAACAAAAGCUUUUAAUUUUGUGUCUGAUUUCACAAACUUUUCAUUAUAAUUCAUGUGUUUUGUCUCCUAAGAGAUCUUUAACAUUUGCCUAACCCAAGAUCUCAAAGAGCUAAGAAAAGUUAAUGUUCGAUGCUUUAAGGUAAGUUUAUAAGGCAUGGUGAUCAUGUAUGCACAGCAGGCAUGGAAGAGGCUGGCUCUGGAAUCUGGCCCAUGUCGCCUGUUAGACCAAGAGAGCACACAGUGGAACUGACUAGCCCACAGAGUCUGCCUGCCUGCCUAGGAGUAAAUAGACACAAAGACACAGGGUCCAGAAGAGCAGAGUAAAUUUAUAUGUGAUCCAGGUAAUUGUCAACAGCAAGGGGUCAGAGGACAGAUGGCUGGGAAAUGGGUGAGAACUUUAAGGAUCAAUGUAGUUGGAAUGUCAUUACUCAGGAAAUCUGCCCCCUGGUGUCAGAAAUCCAGCUGACUUGAUAAUUAUUUCAUUCAUAAGGUGACAAUAUUCAUUUCUGGGGGAGAAGAUCAAGAAUCACAGGUUCCUGGCUCUCUGUUCCGGGGAAGUUUAAUUCCAGGAGUGUUGAGAUGCAAUAUGAAAGCUUGUGAUUUCCUUCUUUAUUAUAAGAUCACAGGUCUUAAAGAACUGUUUUUCAAAGAACCAUCUGCAUCAGAACCACCUGCAAGGUCAUUUCCUAUGCAGAUUCACAGGCACCAACUCAGACUUGUUGAAUCAGAAGUACUUGGAGGAUGGCCAGUAAGUCUCUGGGCUUUUUAUAAGCUUUUCAGAAGACUGCUAAAAACUCCAGUGACUUAAGGUAUAACAAAUAUUAAACACCAAAGGAUUAGGAUAAAGGGGAGAUACGAGGAGAGGCAGUUGUACGUUUUUAUACAGUUCCUGCUUUUGAAUGGAUUGUUUCAGGAGCUGGAGCUAUAUCUGAUUGUAGAAGUAAAAUAAUUCAGUAGUAUUUCUGCAGAGACAGAAAAUGGAAAAGGAGAACUAAUAUUUUGAACUCAUGUAUCAAUUGGCAGUAUACUAUAUAAUGUGUAAUAUAAUAUAUUACAGCUACAUAAAUAGUUAAGUGGAUAGAUAGAUGGAUAACAUAGGCAGAGUAAUUUGUACCAAUAUAAAUUUCAGUAAUUAUGGAAACAAUAUAAAUAUAAUAAUCAGAAAAAUAUUUUAACUGGAAAAUUGGGGUUUUGUUUUGAAUAAAAUACUUUAUUUCAUCAUUUGAAAUGGCAGCAUCAUCUCUAAUAUAUCAAAAAUAUAUUAGGCAUUUUGGUUAUAUAUAAUAUUUGACAAUAACAUGAAAAUAAAGGCAUUUAAGUAACUGAAACCUGGGAAGUCUUCUGAUUAUAGAUGGCCAUCUGCAUUAAUUCUUUAUCAAAACUCCUAAAGACCGUUUCUUGAUUUUUCUCUCUUAUUUUGGGUAUCGUGCAGUGCUUAUUUAUCUCACGUUGGUGUCUAAUUCCCUGAUUCUACACAUUUAAAGUGAAUCUCUAUAAUGCAAGUGAAAAUUUAGUCUGUAAAUAUGAGUAAAAAUAGGAAUAGAAAUAUGUUUUGUGGAAUAAAACAGCAAGCUAUUUUAAAUCUGAGACAUAAGGUCUUACCUAAAAAUAUCAAUUACAGGCCAUUAUCAUUUAAAUUGAAAAGAACCAUAGACAAUUCUUUUUAAAGUAGAAAGCCAUCAGCCCAGGAAGACAGACUUCAGAGUUGCUUGCUUAUGUCUAUUUCACAAGUGAAAAGAGACCUUUGCCCUUGCAGGCUGUUUUGUUUCUAUGUUCUACUCCAGUAACUCGCCCAAAAUGAAAAACAGACUUUGGUUCUGUUAUAGCAUUAUUUUAAAAGAAUAAGUCAUGUUACUGCAUACAAGCGAGUUUGGUUUGGUUUGGUUGCUGCAGAAAUUAACAAGGUGUCAGAUGAUCAUUGUGACCCCAUUUUUAUCUCAAGCAGACUAAAUUCAUAACUGAGAACAGGGCCUCCGUCUGCGGCUCUGGAUUGUGGAGGAUUUCACAAGCUCAGCUGGUUCUGAGGGACAGAAAAUCUCCUGUAUCCUGACUAUCAUCUGAUUAUGUUCAUGCAGAUGUCAUGUGCCUUAUGAUGGAAAGACUUCCAAAAGGGGAAAGUGGUUUUCUUCAUGUCAAAUGUAGUCAACAGAAACCAGAGCACAGGCUCCGGACGCACAGGCCCAGCGGCCAUGACUCACAGGCCUAGCCGCUCCACGGCACGUGGGACCCUCCUGGACCGGGGCACGAACCCGUGUCCCCGGCAUCGGCAGGCGGACUCUCAACCACUGCGCCACCAGGGAAGCCCUUGCACCUACUUUUAAGAAGUUGACAGAUCUAUGCUACCUGAAUGAAUCUCUGGUUCACCUCUGACUUGGGAUUUGGAAAUGUUGAAAGUGUCGCGUGCAAAGAUUCCACAUAUAAAUGAGAUCAUACUAUAUUUGCAUGAUCAAAAUAUGAGUACCAAGAAAAGUAAGAAUUAAAAAUUGCUGACAAUCAAGAUCUUGAAGAAGAUGGGUCAGCGGAUUAUGGCCGUGGCUGAUUGGCUACAAUGUGCUGAGUCACUACGAGAAGAAACGAAAGCUCGAGCUCCUGCCAUUUAAGUGGAUACUUUCGGGGAAACGUCCUUACGCAGUUUUGCUGAGCUGGAUGUCGGCUGAUUCCUCAGAGGAAGGUGUUCUAUUAAUUCCUGAGAGAAUGGUGUUAAAAUCUCUAAUUAUCAGGAAAACACUUCCUACUUCUUCAGUUCUUCAGCGUGAAGAUGUACACACUUCUCUGUACUAACAUCAUUGCCAAGCCAACGUCCAGUACCUCAACUCUCCUUCGGAUGUCAUUUCUCAUUCAGGGAGUACAUACAGAGGAAGUGGGCCCCCCUUCAGCCCCAGAGGCAUCUCAACUUCAGCCUCAUCUACUGUUCAAGGUGAAGUUCCAUGCGCGGAGGGCAAGAAUCACAUGAACACAGGACUGGUAACAAGAGACAUUUCAGAUUCUACAAUACAUGUACUGUUCCUCCAAUUGUUUACCAAAUGCAGCAGUUAAAGCUCCACUGCCCCCUCCUUGACUCACUGACUUACUGGCUGAUGAACAAAACUGCCAACUGCACAUUAACAGGGGUGCUUGUUGGAACUGUGUUAACCAUUGUGUUGCCAUUUAAACAGGAAAAAUCCUCAUCACUGUAAUAUGUGUGCUGCUCUUUACACAAAAUAAACAGGAAAAAAUGUUGAUGAGUAAGAAAAGCAAAAGAAGUAGGAAAUAAAUAUAUCUUUGUCUCUGUUGUACACUAACCUAAGUCAAUUUGACUGCUUAGCCAAUAUCAAUUUUUAAAAAUUUUAUCUGAUGUUUUUGGUAGAUGCUGGUAAACUCCAGAGUUAAAAGGAGGGGCAGUGCCUUAUUAAAGAAAGGAGCUCUUAUUAUAAAUUUUACCAAAUGUAGUAACAUUUAUUAGUAAACAGGUACAGAAGAGUCAUAUAAACUGGUCUGUACUUUGGAGAAGACUUUGCCCUUGGUGCAUGGGACUUCACCUUGAGGGAAUGGCUAUUCCUAACAGCUAAGAAUAACUAAUAACUGACUGGCAUAGAUUAGCGUUAAUUAGCAAUAUGUUUAAUACAUAUAUUUAAUAUAUUCUGAUAGUUACAUAUUUAGUAACGUAUAUAAAAUAACACUCGAUUAUUUUAACAUAAAUAACCAGAUAGACAUAAUAGUUCCAAGUUGAAAUUUUUCAUGCCGGGGCAUAGUUUGACAACAUAGCCGGGAGUUACCAUCUAACUUGUGAGAAGCAUACUUCAUGUUUUCUCUGUGUGACAUAUCACUGUUUCCCAAGACUUAACAAAAUUAACCCUGAACUACAACAUGGGGAAAUAGAAUGAAGAACACAAUUCUAGUGUCAGCCAUUAUUUGGAACUGGGGCCUGAACCUAGAUGAAUUAGAUAUUAUUAUCAUCACUUUAUUAUUAACAUGUGACUUUUUAUAUCUGAAUUGGUCAUGCUAGGCCCAAUAUUAUAUAGAAAAGUCCAGAAAAUUGAGAAAAAACUUGCUGAGUUAUCAAAUAAGAUGACAUGCCAGAUUUUUGGCAAUUAGCGGGCAGGCUAAUAUCAAUAGAUCAUUAAUGUAACUCAUUUUUAUAGAAAAAUAGUUUUGUAAAAUGAAACAUCCAAGAUCUGUGCUAUGGGAAGGAGAAUGGAGAGUAAACGAACCUUCAUUGAAUGCCUAUGUUUCAGACACAGUACUAGUGUGACCACAUAUAAUCUUUAUUAUUUAGACUCUCUCUGUGAGGUAGGGUAUAUUAUUCUCAUGUUUACGGAUGACGAUACACUGUGACUUAUGCUAGAUAGACCUACUUACAUGUACCAAGCAAUUAUACUGUAAAAUUAAAUUCUAAAACUUUUGACAGGUGGGGUGUGAAACAUCUGGAUUUCUCCCUUAAAAUAUAAGUUUUUAGUGACUUUCCAUCAUGUAAAUGCAGUUGUACUCUAACUCUGAAAUUGCCAGUUCUGUUCUUGGGGGGGGGGGGGGUUCUGCGGUACUUUUCUUUUCUGGGCACUAUCUGGUCAUUUUGUCCUGUUAUUAUGUUUGUAUCCUUGAAGAAUGUAAAGAUGGUGUUUUCAUGAAAAUGAAUAUUGCCUUUUCUUUGACUCAGGAUGGUUGACUAUAAUGCUGUCAUUAUACUUACGUUUAAAACUCUCAUUCAUCUAGGCACUGAGUACUUGCUGGAAUCCAUAAAAAAAGUAUAACACCUACCUUCAAGGAGCUUAUCUUUGCCUGGAAAUUAAGCCAACUUCUUCCUUAGUGAGGAACAACUCUAAAUAUUGUAGCACUGAAAUUGAUGGGUCUCAUCUUAGAAGGCUUUCUUUUUUUUUUUU